rnacentral:sRNA from 1 species
AAUAAGAAAUAGGUUUUAACCCGCGGUAUACCGCGGAGAUAAUUUAUUUUUUAAAGUUAAUAUAUAUAAAAGUUUGCAAAUUGUAUUUAUAUUUUAUAAUUUACAAUUGUUAUUAAGUAAUGUCCUGCCAAAUCCGUCCCGUAAAAAAACUCAUUUAUUUUAUUAAUGUUGAUCUUAUUUAUAAUAUGUUUAUGAACCAUUGUCUAAAUAUUUUUUAAUUUUGUAGUAAUUAAAUGCUAUCAAAUAUCUCUGUGGUUUGAUGAUUAUAAUCGAAUUGUUAUACUAAUGCAGAAAAGCAAUAUCAAAAAUGAUAAUUUUGUAGUAAUUAAAUAAUAUUAAAUAUUUUGGAACUUUUAUUUUAGUAACUAAACGUGUAGUUAACAUGGAAAGAUUUUACGAAGAUUGUUAAAUGUCAAAUAUUUAAUUCGAAGAUUUUCUUUCUAAUUAUCAAAAACAAACAUUAAUUCAGUGGCAGCCAUUGUAAAUAAGUCUCAACUACAAGAUUUAUUUUACAAAAUAGCUCCAAAAAUGUAUAUGUAGAUUGGUUAUAUAGAAACAAAUUACUUGAUAGAAUACAUAUAAAUGUUUUUAAAAUAAAAUUUAAUUAAGUAAAUAAAUAAAGACUAUAAACAGAAACAUAGAGGAUAUAUCAA